rnacentral:lncRNA from 1 species
AGCCUAUAACACAAAACGGCAUCAGGCACAUUCUAGAAACCAUUAGAUUGUAACAAUGCCAGGUUAUAUCCAGGAGUCUGAUUUUAUUAUGUUGGAGGAAGGGUCUACUGCCAGAGACCUGAUGGAUAAAAUGAUUGAAGAUUUCUCUCGGUCUGUAAGUAUCCAGUUUAUUUUGCCAAGCACACUUACUCAUUCAACCAGGAUUAGUUGCUAGAGAAAUGACCAGAUUUUUUAAAAUUGUGGGAUAGCUAGCUAUAGCAUGCUCAACAUGGCACCAGCCUAUACCUCUUCCAGUCUUGUCCUCUUUAAGUGUAAUUUUUGGUGUUCUAGUUUAUAAAAACAUAUAUUUUUAUACUAUAAUAGUGAGCCACACUGUUAACAUAACAUUUGGUUGGUUUACAUCUUUCUCAAAAGGGAACAAAUGUUCUCAGUGAGCAGUUUAAAGGACCACUAUAGGCACCCAUACCACUUCAGCUCAAUAAAGUGGUCUGGGUGCCAGGUCCAUCUAGGGUUAACCCUGCCUGCUGUAAACAUAGCAGUUUCAGAGAAACUGCUAUGUUUACAUUAGGGUUAAUCCAGCCUCUAGUGGCUGUCUCAUUGACAGCCACUAGAGGCGCUUCCGCGCUUCUCACUGUGAGUUUCACAGUGAGAAAACGCCAGCGUCCAUAGGAAAGCAUCGAGAAUGCUUUCCUAUGGACUGACUGAAUGCGCGCACAUCUCUUGCCGCGCAUGCGCAUUCAGCCGAUGACUUCCAAAGGAGGAGGUGAGUCCCCAGCGCCGAGGGAGCCCGGAGCUGGAGAAAGGUAUGUGUUUAACCCCUUCCUCCAACUUCAGCCUGGCGGGAGGGGGGCCAUGAGGGUGGGGGCACCCUCAGGGCACUAUAGUGCCAGGAAAACGAGUUUGUUUUCCUGGCACUAUAGUGGUCCUUUAAAGGACAGAAAGCAUGCUUAAAAUUUUUUAAUCUUAGAGAAUAAGAUCCAUGGACUUGUGGCAAUAAUCGCAACUGAUAAUGUAGAUUUAGUCGCUGUUACUGAGACACAGUAUAAUGAGAAAAAUGACUGGGACAUGGCAAUACCAGGGUACUCUUUAUAUAGAAAAGACAGGGAAGGCAAGAAAGAGGGAGGGGUGGUCCUGUAUGGGAAGGAUAGCAUAAAAUCUAACCUAAUAAAAGUUAGUGGGGCGAACAUAGAGUCAGUUUGGGUAACGUUAGAAUUUGUUAAUCACACAGUAACUUGUGUAGGUGUGACUUACAGGCCCCCAGGACAAAUAGAAGAGUUAGAUAAUCUACUACUUGAGGAAAUAGGUAAAAUGACAUUAAAAGGGGGAAGUUAUCAUCAUGGGUGACUUUAAUCUUUCUGAUGUGAACUGGAAAACCAAAAUAGCUGCUUGCGCCGGGAGCACACAUAUUUUAAACUCCAUACUGGGAUUCUCUAAAACAAGUCAUUGAGGAGCCAACUCGUAAGGAAGCUGUGACGAGAGCAAUCUCGCCACAUUGCAUUGGAGAAGCCUGGUUGCUCGCCUGUUACCGUUGGACUAUGGCCCCAUGUUAAAAGACAUCUUUUUCCCUGCAGAAAAGACUUAUUCGUGCUUUUCUGCCCGGUGUUCGGUAGAUUCAAUCUACCGAACAACCGUACGAAUGACUAGACCACCUGGGAGCUGGAGUGUGCCGGCAAUUAGCCUCCCAGAAGCUGCAGUUAACCGCAGCUUAAUUGACGAAUACUGGGUGGCUGCCAUUCGUAUCACGAACACGAGGUCGCGGCCAUUUUAAACACGCGAAUGCACAGCGGUGUUCGACGCCUAACUCAUGGAACUAAAAAUGGACACAGUUUGGCGCGAACACCGCUGAAGCCGCAGACCUCCCUUCUUGUUAGGCAGGGGUGCACGAACGGCCCGGUGUUCGGUAGUUUUGCCUGACUGUAUUAUACCCCAGAUAGGAAUCCCAUGGAGCUCAUUCGUAUGAGAACUAACUUUGUAAAGACUUUGGUUCCAUGGUGAUUGAACUGUAUUCGUGUGGUCUGAGCACCAUUUUGCUUAAUAAUGUGCGCUCAGACCUGAGCUAUCUGGGGACAUGUUUAAUAAUAAUAAUAGUGUAUUUUAAUAAUAAUUCUUGUGUUAGUAUCCCCACGUGCAUAAUGGCGAUUUGCCUUUGUCCUGGGAGAUAAUUGAAUUACUUCUCAAUUAUCUCCAGGGCAGAGGGGAGGAAGCCAGGAUGCAUUGUGGGAAUAUAAUGUGACUGUGUGUCCAAUUUUGCUGAUUGUCUGUCUUUUGUCACAGUCUCCCAUUUGGUCCCCUAGGGGAGUGUCCACCAGGUGGGAGACCUGCAUAAAUACUGGGCAGGUAGCCCUCAUUAAACAGACCACUGCUUGACCCUGAACACGGAGCUUUGUCUCGUCUUAGCGGGGAUUUACUGAAUGCUGAUAGAGACUGAUUGCUAGGAGUGUAACCCGCUUGGAUGCUUUUCCUAUUCAUCUGCUAGCAGCGAUUCGUAUGGUUCCAGUUCGUGAGUUUGGAGUGUUACAUUGUAUGCCGUUCGGGAGUUUGGAGCAUUCCCUUACAUGCGGUUCGUGAGUUUGGUGUUCUACAGUAGCUGUGCCUGCAUCUCUGAAAGGGGACGAUCGCCUAAACGGUUUUAACCCCUUGUGUGCUGAAACGGUCCAUUACAGAAGCCAUACUAGAUUUAGUGUUAACAAAUGGAGAUUUAGUAUCAGAUAUUAUUGUAGGUGAAAGUUUAGGAUCUCGUGUUCACCAGUCAGUGUGGUUUAAUAUAAGAAAAGUGGGUAACCAAAAUAAUAGGUCAGGGUGGUGCAGUAGACAUUGCUUACCUAGAUUUCACUAAGGCUUUUGACACUGUCGCACAUAGAAGGAUUAUCAAUAAACUACAAUCUUUAAGUUUGGAUUCCAAUAUUGUUGAAUAUGUUAGGCAGCGGCUGCGUGACAGGCAACAGAGGGUUGUAGUCAGUGGAAUGCAUUUGAAGCAAGGUCUAGUUACCUAUGGGGUACCUCAGGGAUCUGAUAAGGCAUAUUUGGGGAUUUAUUAUUUGUGGGGUUAUUGUAUAUAUUAUUUGUGGGGUUAUUGGGUAGUUUUAUGUUUUUAUAUUUUGUAUUGGGCUCUGGGGUUCCUAGAAUAUAAUUAGCUUACCAAUCUUUAACGCAAUUAUCUCCCAGGCCCAGAGAUUCCUGGGAGGGGCUUGUGUUGUAUACAACGGAGACCCCUUGCUGGAGUCUGUGCAUUAAAGGCCAAGUUUGGCUUAUUAAAAUCAGUUGUACUCCCAGAAAUAUGUGUCAUCUAGAGACUGGGAGGGGAAAGGGCUAAUCAGUACUCAGCAACGUGUUCCAGCUCGUGGAGGAUUCAGCAGGGAAAGUCCUUGUGAGGACUACAGCUCCCAGGACUGUGUGUCAUCCAGUCCCUGGGAGGGAAUAGAGCUAGUUCCCUAUCCUCCUCCAGGAUUUGGAGGCUCCAGGAUGGCACCAGUCAAGCCACGGCGACUGGGGCAGAAGAGUGCAGAGGUUUUUCCCUGUUCCAGCUAGGAAGCAGUCCUUGGCGGAGGUACCCAGCCGGGGUACAGGGAGCUCUGCUACAUUCACACCGUCACACAAAUGUUCCUCUUUUAUGGUAUUGCCUCACUGUAUUGAUUUCAUUGUACAAUUAAUGAUUAAUGAGAUUGACCCCUAUGGCCAAUGUACAAAUAGUCACCUUCAAUGUCAAGGGCUUCAACUCCCCUGAAAAGUGAUCCCUGACACUAGCAGAAAUAUACAAACUAAAAGCUGACUUAGCUUUUCUAUCAGAAACACACUUCAAAAAAGAUGUAGCACCCACGCUGCGUAACAGCAGAUAUCCAAUUGUAUAUUUAAGCAACUACAGCAGAGCCAAAGCCAAGGGAGUGGCAAUACUGAUCUUCAUUCACAUACCCUUUACAUACACAGCUCACAAAUCAUAUGAUGCUGGUAGACUACUGAUGGUCAAAGGCCAAAUAGGCCAAAACACAGUCAUGCUAGCUAACACAUACCUCCCAAACAGACACCAAUGAAAAACACUCAAGAAACGCCUAAAAGGCAUAGUAGAAUUUGUGGAGGGAAUCCUAAUCCUGGGAGAAGAUUUCAACAUUUCACUAAACUCAACUCUUGAUACAACAUCUCGUAGAUCCACCUACCAAACACCCUCACGCAAACAACUAUAUGACUGUUCACAACUAUAUGACUGCUGGCGUACUACCCACCCUAAUGCGAAGGACUUUUCCUUCCACACAGAUUUCUCCACCUGAUCCAAUCCACUCACUAUGGCCAAAUCACGUGGUCGGACCAUGUGCCCCUGUCUCUUGUCAGACAUCCUUACAGAACUAUUUUAAUGAAAACACAACUCAG